rnacentral:tRNA from 1 species
UGUGUGGUAGAGCAGCGGUCAGCUCGUUGGGCUCAUAACCCGAAGGUUGUCGGUUCGAAUCCGGCCCUCGAAACCA